rnacentral:rRNA from 1 species
GAGGGCGGGGUGCUAUACAUGCAGUCGAACGCACUUCUUACUCACCGGAGCUUGCUCCACCGAGAAGAAGUGAGUGGCGGACGGGUGAGUAACACGUGGGCAACCUGCCCAUCAGAGGGGGAUAACACUUGGAAACAGGUGCUAAUACCGCAUAAUUGCUUUUGCCGCAUGGCGAAAGCAUAAAAGACGCUUCGGUGUCACUGGUGGAUGGGCCCGCGGUGCAUUAGUUAGUUGGUGGGGUAAUGGCCUACCAAGACCAUGAUGCAUAGCCGACCUGAGAGGGUGAUCGGCCACACUGGGACUGAGACACGGCCCAGACUCCUACGGGAGGCAGCAGUAGGGAAUCUUCGGCAAUGGACGAAAGUCUGACCGAGCAACGCCGCGUGAGUGAAGAAGGUUUUCGGAUCGUAAAACUCUGUUGUUAGAGAAGAACAAGUGAUAGAGUAACUGUUAUCACCUUGACGGUAUCUAACCAGAAAGCCACGGCUAACUACGUGCCAGCAGCCGCGGUAAUACGUAGGUGGCAAGCGUUGUCCGGAUUUAUUGGGCGUAAAGCGAGCGCAGGCGGUCUUUUAAGUCUGAUGUGAAAGCCCUCGGCUCAACCGAGGAAGGUCAUUGGAAACUGGAGGACUUGAGUGCAGAAGAGGAGAGUGGAAUUCCAUGUGUAGCGGUGAAAUGCGUAGAUAUAUGGAGGAACACCAGUGGCGAAGGCGACUCUCUGGUCUGUAACUGACGCUGAGGCUCGAAAGCGUGGGGAGCAAACAGGAUUAGAUACCCUGGUAGUCCACGCCGUAAACGAUGAGUGCUAAGUGUUGGAAGGGUUCCGCCCUUUCAGUGCUGCAGUUAACGCAUUAAGCACUCCGCCCUGGGGGAGUACUGCGCAAAGCUGAAACAUUCAAAGGAAAUGACGGGGCCCGCACAACCGUGGAGCAUGUUGCUCAAUCGUACUACGCGAGACUUCACCAGGUCUUCUACAUCUUUUGACACUCUUAGAAUAUAGACUUUCCUUCAGGACUAAUGGACAGUCGUGACAUGGUGUCUUCUAAUUCAUGUCCGGCAAGUUGAG